rnacentral:rRNA from 1 species
UACGUAGGGCGCGAGCGUUGUCCGGAUUUAUUGGGCGUAAAGAGCUCGUAGGCGGCUUGUCGCGUCGUCCGUGAAAACCUGCAGCUUAACUGUGGGCGUGCGGUCGAUACGGGCAUCACUGGAGUUCGGCAGGGGAGACUGGAAUUCCUGGUGUAGCGGUGAAAUGCGCAGAUAUCAGGAGGAACACCGGUGGCGAAGGCGGGUCUCUGGGCCGAUACUGACGCUGAGGAGCGAAAGCGUGGGGAGCAAACAGG